UGAGGAAUAUUGGGCAAUGCCCGCAAGGGUGACCCAGCAACGCCGCGUGGAGGAUGAAUGUCGUAAGAUUGUAAACUCCUGUUAGAGGGGAAGAAUAGUACCGGUUGGACCGGUAUAUGACUGUACCCUCAGAGAAAGCCCCGGCUAACUACGUGCCAGCAGCCGCGGUAAUACGUAGGGGGCAAGCGUUGUCCGGAUUUACUGGGUGUAAAGGGCGCGCAGGCGGAAUGGAAAGUCAGUGGUGAAAUCCUACAGCUUAACUGUAGAACUGCCUUUGAUACUUUCAUUCUUGAGUUCGGGAGAGAGAGACGGAAUUCCAGGUGUAGUGGUGAAAUACGUAGAUAUCUGGAAGAACACCAGUUGCGAAGGCGGUCUCUUGGUUCGAUACUGACGCUGAGGCGCGAAAGCGUGGGGAGCAAACA
rnacentral:rRNA from 1 species